GGACAUGUAGUUUGUCUGCAGCAAGCGUUUUGGUAGAAACUGCGCCUCCCAUUCAUUAUAAUGGUAAAUGACCACAGACAAGUGCGCACACCAUCGUUGAACCUUGAGUGUGACGCGAUCGGGAGGGAGAGGCGGUCGUGUUGGGGGCGGCGUGACACAGCUCGGGCCCGCCAGUGCCCCAACGGGGCCCUAGUUAUAAACGUUUCUGUGAGACCAAUAAUAAUUUUGUGAUGACCACAUGUUAUGUCUAAAUGACGAUUUGUGUGGAUGUAGUUGUGUUUAUUAGCUAGCAAAGAAUCAAAAGGUUAUGAAUGUGACAUAGUGGUCCACUGGGACUAUUACAAAGUAGCCUAGACAUAAUUCUUUACAGGUGGGAAAGGCAGAAUUACUCCUUUUUUUUAACAUACAUAAUAUGAUCUCCAGGCUGUUUCAUUAGUAAAAUAUAUCCUUAAUUUAGAUUUGUUGUGAUACAGUAAAUGCCUGGCUUUGUGUUUACAGAAAUACCCCCUAUAGUCCAUGAUGCCAGACUUUUGUGCGGCACAUGGAUACUCAAAUGAACGUUCUGUCCAAACAAGAGCCCAUGGAAUCACCUUUCACUCAUAAGAAAUGACUUGAGGGACAUAUUUAGGAUAAUUGUUACUAACUUAGUUAAAUUUGUACUUGUAAAAUACAAGUUAUUUUUACCCUGACUUUUUAGAAAUGUUUCUACCAUUUGUUUACAUAAUAACCAUUGAAUAUUUCUUUUUCACAUUUUUUAACAUGUUACUGUUAUUGACUUGUUAUUUAAGUUUACAUCAUGGCAUUCAAGCAUAGGCUACAUGAAUUACCCCAACAAUAUCAUAAUUUAGCUCUAGUUGUGCCCCUGUUUUUCAAACUAAGGCUGCACCACAUUGCUACAAUGACUACGCUUGACAGAAGCUCACCAAAACAGUACUUUUCAAGGGUCAGUAGCUCAAAUUGUCCGUGCACUUGUUAGGGCCCGAGCCAGCUGCAGAGCAGCCGGGCCUGGAGCCCUAUUAUUCCUGUAGUGGUUUUUCUUUGUUUCUUUCUUUAGGGCCCGAGCGUAGCUGCUGAGCAGCUGCGAGAGCCCUGUUGUUCCUGAUGGAUUCUUCUUUCUUUAGGGCCCGAGCGUAGCUGCUAAGAAGCUGCGAGAGCCCUCUUGUUAGGGCCCGAGCGUAGCUGCUAAGCAGCUGCGAGAGCCCUAUUAUUCCUGAUGGAUUCUUCUUUCUUCUUCUUCUUCUUCUUAUUAGGGCCCGAGCGUAGCUGCUAAGCAGCUGCGAGAGCCCUAUUAUUCCUGAUGGAUUCUUCUUUAGGGCCCGAGCGUAGCUGCUAAGCAGCUGCGAGAGCCCUCUUGUUCCUGAUGGAUUCUUCUUUUGUUAUUAUUAGGGCCCGAGCGUAGCUGCUAAGCAGCUGCGAGAGCCCUCUUGUUCCUG